rnacentral:rRNA from 1 species
UACAUGGGGUGCAAACGUUGCUCGGAAUUAUUGGGCGUAAAGCGCACGUAGGCGGUUCGUUAAGUCGGAUGUGAAAGCCCUCGGCUCAACUGAGGAAGUGCACCCGAAACUGGCGAGCUUGAGUACGAAAGAGGAUCGCGGAAUUCCCGGUGUAGAGGUGAAAUUCGUAGAUAUCGGGAGGAACACCGGUGGCGAAGGCGGCGACCUGGUCCUUGACUGACGCUGAGGCGCGAAAGCGUGGGGAGCAAACAGG